rnacentral:rRNA from 1 species
GGAGGGUCAUUGGAAACUGGGAAACUUGAGUGCCCAUAAGGAGAGUGGAAUUCCACGUGUAGCGGUGAAAUGCGUAAAGAUGUGGAGGAACACCAGUGGCGAAGGCUACUCUCUGGUCUGUAACUGACGCUGAGGAGCGAAAGCGUGGGGAGCGAACAAGAUUAGAUACCCUGGUAGUCCACGGCGUAAACGAUGAGUGCUAAGUGUUAGAGGGGUUUCCGCCCCUUAGUGCUGCAGCUAACGCAUUAAGCACUCCGCCGGGGGAGUACGGUCGCAAGACUGAAACUCUAAGGAGUUGACGGGGGCCCGCACAAGCGGUGGAGCUUGUGUUUUAUUUCGAAGCAACGCGAAAAACCUUACCGG